rnacentral:rRNA from 1 species
AGUGAACGCUGGCGGUAGGCCUAACACAUGCAAGUCGAACGGCAGCACAGUAAGAGCUUGCUCUUACGGGUGGCGAGUGGCGGACGGGUGAGGAAUACAUCGGAAUCUACCUUUUCGUGGGGGAUAACGUAGGGAAACUUACGCUAAUACCGCAUACGACCUACGGGUGAAAGCAGGGGAUCUUCGGACCUUGCGCGAUUGAAUGAGCCGAUGUCGGAUUAGCUAGUUGGCGGGGUAAAGGCCCACCAAGGCGACGAUCCGUAGCUGGUCUGAGAGGAUGAUCAGCCACACUGGAACUGAGACACGGUCCAGACUCCUACGGGAGGCAGCAGUGGGGAAUAUUGGACAAUGGGCGCAAGCCUGAUCCAGCCAUACCGCGUGGGUGAAGAAGGCCUUCGGGUCGUAAAGCCCUUUUGUUGGGAAAGAAAAGCAGCAGGUUAAUACCCCGCUGUUCUGACGGUACCCAAAGAAUAAGCACCGGCUAACUUCGUG